GGUUUUUGCCUAAAUGAGCUUAAGCUUUUUUUUUUUUUUUACUCCAACAUAUGCAUUUAAGGCUAUAAAUUUUUCUCUAAGCACUGAUUUGGCUGCAUGCAGUAAAUUUGAUAGCCCCAUUAUUUCAUUAGGGGUUACAAAAUGACGGACGAGAGGCAGCGGAGACAGCCAGCCCCAUCCUAGCACCUUCCAGCAACAUCACCAUCAGACUCACGGAGUCCGAAAUAUAACAAGAAUAAGAAAACAAUAGCCAUAGCCAUAGUAAUGACACCGAACAACAGAGAAAUCAGCAAGAUAUGUGUUUCAGUUUGUCGGCAUGGUAUUUUUAUUAGUUUGCAACUUUCUGUUUAAGAUAAAGCAGUGUGAUCCUGGUUAACAUGGUGAAACCCUGUCUCUACUAAUAAUAAUAAAAAAAAAAUUAGCCGGGCGUGGUGGCGGGCACCUGUAGUCCCAGCUACUGGGGAGGCUGAGGCAGGAGAAUGGAGUGAACCCGGGAGGCGGAGCUUGCAGUGAGCCGAGAUGGUGCCACUGCA
rnacentral:lncRNA from 10 species